rnacentral:rRNA from 1 species
CCUACGGGAGGCAGCAGUGGGGAAUAUUGGGCAAUGGGCGCAAGCCUGACCCAGCAACGCCGCGUGAAGGAAGAAGGCUUUCGGGUUGUAAACUUCUUUUGUCAGGGAAGAGUAGAAGACGGUACCUGACGAAUAAGCCACGGCUAACUACGUGCCAGCAGCCGCGGUAAUACGUAGGUGGCAAGCGUUGUCCGGAUGUACUGGGUGUAAAGGGCGUGUAGCCGGGUUGACAAGUCAGAUGUGAAAUCCUGCGGCUUAACCGCAGAACUGCAUUUGAAACUGUUGAUCUUGAGUACUGGAGAGGCAGGUGGAAUUCCUAGUGUAGCGGUGAAAUGCGUAGAUAGUAGGAGGAACACCAGUGGCGAAGGCGGUCUGCUGGACAGCAACUGACGGUGAGGCGCGAAAGCGUGGGGAGCAAACAGGAUUAGAUACCCCUGUAGUC